rnacentral:lncRNA from 1 species
CACGUCUUAUGUAUGCUCGAUGCAGAGGGUGAUUGAUCUCACAAUCAUUUGUGUGGAGACACUAAUACAAAGAUGUGGGUGCUCAUUAGAAGAAUGAGUUUACUGAAUUGACCUACCAAGAGAAAUCUUAUGAAGUCUUACUUACAUGUCAAAAGAUGAUUCUCUUAGUGGGAGUUGUGCAACUGAUCCUAUGACCUGAGAUCACCAUGGUAUCUUAUACACAUGAACCCAUGUUUUGGUUUACACUCAUUCAUGACAAUAAGUUAUAUACGAGGUCUUCUGGAUAUGGUGAAUUGUGUACGAAGAUUAUGAGUAGGUCAACAAGGAAUUAAUCACUUCUAGUAAGAGAAGAUAGCAUCCUAUUUAUUCUAAUCAUAUGAUAAUUCAGAAAGCCUUUGAUCAAAGCGGAAUAAAAAUUAGAAAGAGUUUCUAAUGUUUCAUUAUUUGAAUUAUCAUUAAAAGAUUGAGAAAAAUAUGAAUAUGAAAUUGAGUUUGACAUAUAUUCAUACUC